GCUCAACACUGAAUAUCAAUAGCACACAAUGCGUGUAUCGAUGUGCUUACUUUUUUAUCAGCCAUCCCUAACACUUUUCAGAUGCUUGUCAAAAAAAAAGCAUCUGAAUAAAAGGUUUAAUUAAACCACCAGCGAGAAGAAAAGGAAUGUAAGUACGCUCUACAAUAAAGUUUUUCGGUUAAUAGAAUGUGUCAAUUCGAACAGUCUACGAUAAGUCUACCUGUGGCACUUGCCACAGCCAUUUGGCCGGUCCAAAAUCUAAUUGAAAUCUCUAUUCUCAGACAAUGGAUGAUAGGCGUCGUGAGGACUUUGAGAAAGCUUUAAGCGUGCUCGAAAACCGGCACCCAGGGGAGCAGCGGCCGCCACGGUGCGAGCCCAGAGUGCAGCCGGUAAAUGGAAUUGUGCAGCCCCCGGUGAUGCCGCCACCCAAUCGUAAGGGAAGGGUAACCAAUUUCUUGUUAAAACUGAGAACCGCUGUGAAUGCGUUGUCGCGCAACCCUUCCUCGCUGCACUUUCGCCAACCUGUCGAUGCUGUGAAGCUGAAGAUCAGGGACUACCACGAAAAAAUCGCAAACCCCAUGGACUUGAACACAAUCAAGAAAAGAUUUGAGUACACAUACUACUGGGGCGGUGCAGACGUCCUGGAAGACAUUCUAUUGAUUUUCGAAAACUGCAGAGUCUACAACAGUCCGGACUCGCCCGUGUUUAAAGCUGCUGUCAACCUGUGCGAGUGCUUUUGGCUGCGCAUGGCGAAAAUGCAGCAGGAAUUGCACAAUGAGUGUAGGGCUGAGGCCAAGACCAGGCGUCCGCGGAAGGCAGCCAUUUCAAAAACUUCUCCAUUGCCGAAGACCCCGCGCCAGGAAAAGGCUGUCAUUCCAAUGAAUACCAAGGUGGAAAUCAAGAAUGGAAAUCAGCCAAAGGCAGACGAUCCACUGCCUUCAUUUGAGGCCGUUCCCAAUCUACAUCCGAAUCGGCACCAUGGCAAACAGUUCACGCCCGUGACACCGGCCCGUCGUGGUCGUGGCCGACCUCCAGGGUCGCGAAGUCUGACCCGAGCUGACGCCGAUAAAAAUGCUGUUAUCUCGCACGAAUUUCCAGAGCUUCAGCGACCCCCAAACCUUCUUAACAACUACGGAACUCAAGUGAAAAUCGACCCACUCCCAGUCGAACCAGUCCUUGAUCGACUCAGCAUAACGGCUAUCCUGAUGCCUUUAAAUCUGAAGAUCGAGCGCACAUACAGCCAGACCCUGAUCAAGGCUCUACGUUGUUGUGCGGACUCUUGGCCAUUCAACAUCUCGUCGAUCUGGAUGCAUUAUGGAGAAAAUCUAGAUAAUGACUUCCAUGAUGAGCCUCUGGAUUGGGACAUACUGGAGAAGAUGCUGGCGGGCGAGCAGUUUAAGGGCUGGGACUGGUUUCUGACUAAGUUACACCGAAUGCUGCAGAACGCAAUGUCCUGCUUCACCGAAUGCCCAUCGAUCCGCAGAGCGACACAGAGGACCUUCGAAAAGGUCGUGGAAAUGGUACCUGAUUAUGAAGAACGCAUGGCUCACGUAAAAGCGACGGCUCACGAAGCGGUUCGUUUGAAAUUGGACGCCAUGACACCAUCUCAAAAAGAGGAACUCCUUAAAUAACUUGAAUUAUCCAAGAAAGCAAACAGAAAUCAUUCCUAUUGGUUUGUAACAGAAAUUUGAAUAAAUAACACAAGGCGAGA
rnacentral:lncRNA from 1 species